UAAUUAGGACCUUACUCUCUGAGUAAGGGGAGCCUCCCACCUGCUUACCUGGCCAAUUGUUCGAUUACCUCUUAUGAAGAGCUCAAGUUGUAAACACUAAGACCUGAUUAACCAAUAUUAAGUCAAUAGGUCUUCCACCGUAGUAGAGCUACUAAGGUCUUUCUGAUGUUGAUUUGUCUCGGCUGGACACAGUGGGCAAGUUGCAUCGG
rnacentral:lncRNA from 1 species